GAUACCCUGGUAGUCCACGCUGUAACGAUGAUGCUAAGUGUUAGAGGUUUCCGCCCUUUAGUGCUGAAGUUAACGCAUUAAGCACUCCGCUGGGGAGUACGUCGCAAGACUGAAAUCAAAGGAAUUGACGGGGGCCCGCACAAGUGUGGAGCAUGUGGUUUAAUUCGAAGCAACGCGAAGAACCUUACCAGGUCUUGACAUCCUCUGACAACCCUAGAGAUAGGGCUUUCCCUUCGGGGACAGAGUGACAGGUGGUGCAUGGUUGUCGUCAGCUCGUGUCGUGAGAUGUUGGGUUAAGUCCCGCAACGAGCGCAACCCUUGAUCUUAGUUGCCAGCAUUCAGUUGGGCACUCUAAGGUGACUGCCGGUGACAAACCGGAGGAAGGUGGGGAUGACGUCAAAUCAUCAUGCCCCUUAUGACCUGGGCUACACACGUGCUACAAUGGAUAGUACAAAGGGUUGCAAGACCGCGAGGUGGAGCUAAUCCCAUAAAACUAUUCUCAGUUCGGAUUGUAGGCUGCAACUCGCCUACAUGAAGCCGGAAUCACUAGUAAUCGCGGAUCAGCAUGCCGCGGUGAAUACGUUCCCGGGCCUUGUACACACCGCCCGUCACACCACGAGAGUUUGUAACACCCGAAGUCGGUGGGGUAACCUUUUAGGGGCCAGCCGCUA
rnacentral:rRNA from 2 species